CCUACGGGCGGCUGCAGUGGGGAAUAUUGCACAAUGGGGGGAACCCUGAUGCAGCGACGCCGCGUGGGUGAGGAAGUACUUCGGUAUGUAAAGCCCUAUCAGCAGGGAAGAAAAUGACGGUACCUGACGAAGAAGCUACGGCUAACUACGUGCCAGCAGCCGCGGUAAUACGUAGGGGGCAAGCGUUAUCCGGAUUUACUGGGUGUAAAGGGAGCGUAGAUGGCGUGCCAAGUCUGGUGUGAAAGGUCGGGGCUCAACCCCAGGACUGCAUUGGAAACUGGCAGGCUGGAGUGCAGGAGGGGCGAGCGGAAUUCCUAGUGUAGCGGUGAAAUGCGUAGAUAUUAGGAGGAACACCGAUGGCGAAGGCAGCUUGCUGGACGGUAACUGACAUUGAGGCUCGAAAGCGUGGGGAGCAAACAGGAUUAAAUACCCCGGUAGUC
rnacentral:rRNA from 1 species